CAUAACUGGAAACUCAUUAAAUGAUAUUUUGGCCAAAAAUGGGAAAUUUUACACGACUGAAAAAAUUAAUUAACGAGGAGCUUUCUAGAAGAGGCCCACUGAAGCUUAUAAAACAUCUUCAGAAGAUUAAACUGCUUAAAAGAAAAAUGAAAUGCAAAGUAUGCCACGAGGAAACAAAACUGAAGAAAAGGGUGAACAACGGAGACCAAUAUGCCUGGUAAGAAAUGCAUUUUUUAUUUUUGUAGGACGCCAUAAUAACCGGGGUACUUACUGUAAACGUCAUUGUUAUUAUUUGGUUUUAUACCUAAAUCCUCAUUGAAACAGAGCAAACAGGGACAUCUCUUGAAAGGGAUGUUCCACCCCUAAAUACAAAAUGCUUUUUUCUUACUUAAGUAACUCACUGCGUAUAAUGAUACAUACAUUUUUUCAUGUUACAAUUUUUAAAUAGGAUCUGUCGAGGAGCAGCACAUGGUGGACGCGUUAAACAAAUCUCUGUCAGACACAAGUCCCUUUUCAGCCGUUCGAAAGUCUCACUUCAACACUGGAUGCAAUCUAUCUACAGAUUCUCUCAGGAUCUCAGAUUACGUCAAAUUGACAUGAUGGAUGACACCAUUGCAGGCAGUACGACAACACUUAGUAAAAUGUCCAAAAAAUUAAGGAGGGUAUGUGUGGCUGCAGUUCAAAGAAUGAGAUGUCGUACAGGUCAGUAGAUUGGUGGCCGAAGGGAGUUUGUUGUGAUCGAUGAGAGUCAUUUUCAUCGCAAAUGAAAGGUAAGUUUUGUAAUAGAAAUUAUAUAUUACAUCUAUAUGACAACCUUUCACAGCACUUUUUUGCCAUUUGUCUUAAUUGUUUUCUUUCUGCAUCAGUAUGGGAGAGGAAGAAUGGCAGGGGGCUGGAAAAGAAGAAAGUGGGUGUUCGGAAUGCUGGGCAUAAAAAAAUCAGCGUAGAACAAGGCCUAUCUUGCGUCUUGUGGAGAAAAGAUCUCAAAGACAUCUUGUUCCUCUGAUCACUCUUCAUGUCAGGAUUGGUUCCUUGGUGAUAAGUGAUGAAUGGCGGGCCUAUCGCAUUCUCCCAAACGUAGGUUGUGGACAUUAUACUGUUAACCACAGCAGAUGGUAUGUGGACCCUCUAACAGGUGCCUAUACCCAACAUCUGCAGAGAGCCUGGAGGUCUUACAAGGAGAGAAUUUGGAGACUCCGGGGUAACAGAAAUGACAGCCUACUAUCAGAACACCUUACAGUUAUUGAGUGGAACGAAUGGCUUGCAAAAAAGCACAAACAGGGUGCUUUAGGGAGACUGAUAUAUGACAUUUAAAAAAAAAUACAGAUAAAAAAGUUACUGUUGCAACUGCAGGUUUUUUUUCACCUUUUGAAAAUAUUUGAGCAUUUCAUGUAAAAACAUACAAUUCAUAAAAGUGCAUCGAGCCUUGUUCUUUACUUCAAAUACUGGCUAAUAGUGGUUCAGCACAAUGUUUGUUUUGACAGUUGUGUGUCAAUAUUUGUAAGCAUUGUUUUGAUGUUUUAUAAUUGGCAUCUUAAAAAUAAAGUGCUUUCUGUA